GGAUAGCUCAGUGAGUAGAUCACAAGAUCCUUAAUCUCAGGGUUGUGGGUUCAAGCCCCAUGUUAGGCA